GCAGGAUAUGAGGCCGCAAGUUGUGGCUUGGAUGGACUGUAAUUUAAUUUUUUUCUCUCUCUCUCUUCCCCCACCUCUGUGUGAAUCACAAGGCAGCCUGUCAACGUUGAGCAGGAAUGGCCCCAAGUGCCAAAUGCAGAGGGCUAAACAUGUAAACCGUCCAAUCCUGGGAGUCGGGCGCAGCAAGGUGUAACAAGACUUCAAUGACAACUGGACAUCCGCUGGGUACACCCUGAUAGCCUUUCAAAGGAAGCAAGAUUGGGGAAAGAAUCUACUCCCACUACCAAAAACCGAAGCUGUUCGAUGGAAAAUGACCACAAGGAAAAACCCUUAAAAUAAGCAGAGGAGGAUCGUCUUCUUCCAAGGUACGACUCUUCUUCAAUUUUUACGUCAGAUGCUAACACAGUGAUACCUAGGUUGGACAGCCCCACAGAAUGGCUGAAGUGAUCAGAGUACUCAGGCACAAACAACAAAAGUGCAAGCAGCAAUCCAGCACCAUGUCUCCACCAUGCAGCCAAUGGAUCUACAAAUUCCCAGAGGAAAAGAAAGGGCUUAUUUGUUUGAAUUCCCUCCAACAGGCAAGAGCAACUCAUUUCCACGAAAAAACACUUAUGGCUCAUUUUUCCCCUCGAGUUUUGCUGGUAAGCACACAGAGAAAGCAGGCCUUAAAAUUUUGCGCCCAUUCCCUUUUUAUUUUUGUGACAUCAGGCACUAGAUGGAGAUAGUCUUACUGUUUUCAUUUCGAGAAUAGCCCAAAGACUUAAAAAUCAGUCACCGUUAUAGGAACCCCUCUGCCUCAAUUUCAGAGGACAGAGUGAAGAACUAGGCCACAGAAACAGCACCACACACAAAUUUAGGCCCAGAUUGCCAAGAAAUAUAAUCAAGACCAAAGACUACUUUCAUUUAAGAAACACAGACUCAUCAUAAAAUUUGGUGGGAUUGAAAUUCUGGAAUAAAAUGCAAAGGGAGCUUGAUUAUCCAAACCUCUUGUCCUUAAGGUUCAGACUAAAUGUCUAACCCAAUAAUAAAAAAAAUGUUUUUGUUUGAAAGAUUAGGAAGCUGAGGGAUUUGGGGAACUGGCACAGACAAGGAGAGGAGGCCAGCAUAGAUCAGCCAUAAAUGGUGGGGCAGGCUUGAGGGGCCAGGUGACCUACACCUGCUCCUACUCCUACCUUCUUGUGUACAUGUACUGAGUAAUGGUGUUGCAAUCAUGCUGCAGUCAUGCCUCAGAUUUCCACUCAUUGUCUGGGCUCAUGCCUAAAGACACUCCUUCCACAAAGGCAACUUAUGGCUACGGAAAUAUCCCAAACAAGAACCUCUGCCAAAAGGAAACAGACUUGAACCAGACGUCAUCCAAGGAGAUGGUAUAAAAAGUUUAUUCCAUGCUGAUUGCAGAUUACAGAAGUUAUAUUUCAUAACUCAGUGUCUACUAGAUGUGACUCAAGGAGUGGCAAUCCUUCAUUUUUAUUUAUUUGAAUUGAAACCCACUCAUUUCCAUCAUUCCAUGUGGAAAAUAUUUUCAGAUGAGUUUUGCAAUAUUUAA